AUGACUCAGCUGAGCUCAAUGAAGCCAAAACAUGUGCGUCCAGGCUUAAUUGGUUGCACAAAGACCAAGCCAGGAUGAGCAGACACGGAUUCAUUAAGCCAGGUGAAACCAAUCCUGGAUAGGUGCGCGCUCACGGCUCACUCAAAUAGACCCCGCCACAGAUCACAGAUUAACUGAUUUACCAUGGCAACUAGAGCCGCGUACUUUUCCCCGUCGGAAGCACAAAUCCUCAUGGAGGCAUACGAGGAGGUAAAAGAUAUAAUUAAGAAGAAAGGCAACACCGCCACAGUGAUAAAGCAAAGAGAAAAAGCGUGGCAAAGUAUUGCAGACCGCCUGAAUGCGUAAGUAGUGCACAAUUACACACUCACCGCUCCGCUGAAACAUCACAAUUACAAUUCAAAUAUUUAAUUCACAUCUCCAAAAAUGCAGUUGUACUGUAAUUAUGAAACGGUUAAAUUUUUAAUUGAAAUGCACUGCAGAUAUGAGUGAAAUUGUGUAAAGUAACUCCAUCACACUGUAUAAAGCUAUGAUACAUUUUUUGAUAUUUUUACUGAAAACAAGACAAAAAUACCAAGUAAUUUUUUGCAGUGUGACUCCAUUAAAUGUGUGUGUGUGUGUGUGUGUGUGUGUGUGUGUGUGUGUGUGUGUGUGUAGAUUAAACAUGAACGGGCCAAAACGGACAUGGCAGCAGGUCAAAAUCAAAUACAAGAACAUUCUGCAGAAUGCAGUGAAAAAGAAUACCCACAGACAAGGCACGGGUGGUGGGUCACCAAAGGCUGACCUUACCCCAGCAGAGGACAUGGCCUUGGAGCUAAAUAAAGGCAGGCCCGUCUUAGAGGGGAUCCCUGGGGGAAAGAGACGAGCAUAGGUUCCUCCCAAGAUGCCACCCGCUUCAUUCAAGUGCCUGGCAGCACUGUGUUCCUGUUAGAGCCACCAGCACAAGCACCAGACGAUGCUGAUCCAGGUGAAGGCCCCAGUGCAGCAGCAACAGCACAUGAUGGAGACGAUGAUGAGGAGGAGACCAUCUCUCUGGAUUCCAGAAGGCAUGAGGUAUCAUGUUAAGACUGUGAAAGUACUAUUUACUCUACAAUGGUGAGGAGUCCUCAUCAAAAUCAAAAAAUCUAAUUUCUUUUACAGGACCCAGAUGCUAUACAGUGGGAAAACCAGCCUGGCAACAUAGUGCGUAUUAAUAAAAGGACACCACAUCCUGCCAAAUUCCAGCUGCGCUAAUUGUAUUGUGUUCACAGAGCUCACAAGCUAUCAGAAAGUUGUAUGGCAACCACCUCCGGCGCCAAAUAGAACUGGCAGACAUAGACAUUCAGUACAAGAAGAAAAAGAUGGAAAAUCUUGCACUGGAGUCCGAAAUAAAAAAGAGGACAAUUAGGAAACUGGACCUUGAAAUAAAAAAACUUGAGAGGGAGGUGAGAUAUGCCUUCAAUGUACACUGUAUGCUAACUGUAAAACAAAUGUAUUAAUCAUUAUUUUUCUUUCCUCCCCCAGCUCCAAGAAGAUGACACAGCUCAAAAUAAAAAUUAGGUAUAUUCUCGUAAAGUCAAGUGAGCCAUGACAUAUGAGCUCUUAUUGUGAGCACACAGGACGGUGGCAUCUUUCUAAGGUUUUUUUUUUUCCCAGCAAUCAGUACAACCAAGUCAUCGUUAUAAGGCAUCGCCCUCUUUUGCCCACCCCCAGCACCAGGUGUGGCCACUAGCCUAUAUGAAGGCCCAAAAUUGUGUGUUCCUUUCUGCUCUGACUAUGGCAUGCCCAUUCGUGCGAGAUGUGGUGGAUGAAGAAGCACUUGUGCUGAGGAGAGCCUUCAGGCGAGAAAGGGUCUUCAGGGACCGGUUGGACCCACUGGCCUUCCCUGAUGACCAUCUAUAUGAAAGAUACAGGUUUUCUGCAGAUGGCAUCAGGUAUCUAUGCAGACUACUGGGUCCCAGGAUUAAGCACCGCACUGCACGGAGCCAUGCACUGAGUGUGGAGCAAAUGGUUUGUGUGGCCUUGCGCUUUUUGCUAGUGGAGCCUUCCUGUACUCAGUGGGGGAUGCAGAACAGCUGAACAAGGCCACAAUUUGCACAAUAAGGAGUGUGUGUCUGGCUAUCAAAGCAUUAGCAGAUGUCUUCAUCUCCUUCCCUGGCCACAGAAGACUCUGUGACAUCAAAGAGGAGUUCUAUAGGAUUGCAGGUCUGCAAUGCUGACUGUGUGAUCAGCAAUGUUGUGGCAAAAUGGCCUGGCUCAGUCCAUGACUCCAGAAUCUUUCGGGCCUCUGAAAUCUCUCAGUGCCUAUCACAAGGUGAAUUCUCUGGUGUGUUGCUGGGAGACAGGGGUAUGGCUGCCAGCCUUUUCUCCUGACACCUUUCACAGACCCCCAGGAAGCACAGCAGGCCUACAACCAUGCCCAUGCCAGGACCAGGGCCAGAGUUGAAAUGACCUUUGGCCUCCUGAAGGCACGCUUUCACUGCCUUCACAAAUUAAGGGUCAGCCCUGUUAGGGCAUGUGAUAUUACUGUGGCUUGUGCUGUCCUCCACAAUGUGGCCUGCCUGAGGAAGGAGAGGGCCCCAGAGUGCCACCAGCCAUGGACUGGGACAAUCCGGCAAUCUUCCCUGAUGACGACAGUGGUCGGCUGCUGAGGGACCAAUAUGUGUUGAAUUAUUUUAGUUAGUAUGUGUGCUUUCAAUUUUGGUUAAAUAUGUCCUGCGGUGGCAGAGGA